AUUGAACGCUGGCGGCAGGCCUAACACAUGCAAGUCGAGCGGCAGCGGGACCUUCGGGUUGCCGGCGAGCGGCGGACGGGUGAGUAAUGCCUAGGAAUCUGCCUGUUAGUGGGGGAUAACGCGGGGAAACUCGCGCUAAUACCGCAUACGUCCUACGGGAGAAAGCGGGGGCUCUUCGGACCUCGAGCUAACAGAUGAGCCUAGGUCGGAUUAGCUAGUUGGUGGGGUAAUGGCCCACCAAGGCGACGAUCCGUAACUGGUCUGAGAGGAUGAUCAGUCACACUGGAACUGAGACACGGUCCAGACUCCUACGGGAGGCAGCAGUGGGGAAUAUUGGACAAUGGGCGAAAGCCUGAUCCAGCCAUGCCGCGUGUGUGAAGAAGGUCUUCGGAUUGUAAAGCACUUUAAGUCGGGAGGAAGGGCUGUAGGCUAAUACCUUGCAGUUUUGACGUUACCGACAGAAUAAGCACCGGCUAACUUCGUGCCAGCCGCCGCCGUAA
rnacentral:rRNA from 1 species